rnacentral:rRNA from 1 species
AUAGCUUCACGGCUGAUGAGCAGCAGGCCUUCUUUCCACACCCUUGUCUUUUGCGUACCCAUGUUUCCUCGGUAGGCUUGCCUGCCGAUUGGACAAUCUAUAACCUUUUUAAUUUUUAAUCAGCGUCUGAAAAACUUAAUAAUUACAACUUUCAACAACGGAUCUCUUGGUUCUGGCAUCGAUGAAGAACGCAGCGAAAUGCGAUAAGUAGUGUGAAUUGCAGAAUUCAGUGAAUCAUCGAAUCUUUGAACGCACAUUGCGCCCCUUGGUAUUCCAUGGGGCAUGCCUGUUCGAGCGUCAUUUGUACCUUCAAGCUUUGCUUGGUGUUGGGUGUUUGUCCUCUCCUUGGUGUUUGGACUCGCCUUAAAACAAUUGGCAGCCAGUGUUUUGGUAUUGAAGCGCAGCACAAUUUGCGAUUCUGGCCUUAAAAUACUAGCGUCCAUAAAGUAUUUUCUCACUUUUGACCUCGGAUCAGGUAGGGAUACCCGCUGAACUUAAGCAUAUCAAUAAGCGGAGGAAAAGAAACCAACAGGGAUUGCCCUAGUAACGGCGAGUGAAGCGGCAACAGCUCAAAUUUGAAAUCUGGCUCUUUCAGGGUCCGAGUUGUAAUUUGCAGAGGGCGCUUUGGCGUUGGCAGCGGUCCAAGUUCUUUGGAACAGGACGUCACAGAGGGUGAGAAUCCCGUACGUGGUCGCUAGCCUUCGCCGUGUAAAGCCCCUUCGACGAGUCGAGUUGUUUGGGAAUGCAGCUCUAAAUGGGAGGUAAAUUUCUUCUAAAGCUAAAUACUGGCCAGAGACCGAUAGCGCACAAGUAGAGUGAUCGAAAGAUGAAAAGCACUUUGGAAAGAGAGUCAAAUAGCACGUGAAAUUGUUGAAAGGGAAGCGCUUGCAGCCAGACUUGCCUGUAGUUGCUUAUCCGGACUUUUGUCCGGUGCACUCUUCUGCGGGCAGGCCAGCAUC